rnacentral:lncRNA from 1 species
CUAACAUUUAAAAAGGUCAGGCAUAUUGGGGCACACCUGUAAUCCCAGCAUUCAGGACGUGGAGUCAGGAGGAUCAGGAGUUCAAGGUCAGGUUUACCAUAGAGUGAGUUUAAGAUCAGCCUGGCCUACAUGAGAUCUGUCAUGGGGAUCACUUGGGCACCUUUUUCUCCAUGGUGACCGGGCCAGCUGUGGGUCGAGUGUACACGUGCCACAGGACAGGAGGGCAGGCAGCCAGUGGCCCUUGAGUGAGGCUGGUGCAUUCAUUUUAGGUCCGUUUGGGAAAAGCCCUGGGCCACAUCCAGGCAACUGCAAGGCCUCUGGGCCCUGUGUCCACCUGCUGCAUUUUGGUCCCAUCCCAAGGCUGAGGCAAAGGCACAAGGCCAGCUGUUUGCCAAGCUGCUGGUUCCAGCUUCCAAGCCAACUGCUGGUAGGUGGAAAGGAACGUGUGGCUACCGACCUCUUGGCCAGUAAUGAAAAGAAGUAAUGUCUCUUCACCACAGAGACAAAGAGAGACUGUUAGGUGUCCAAACCCAUGAGUUGUCACAGCAAGCUUCAUUGCGAUCCCCAGUAGAGACACACACACCUUGGCCUCUGGCACCUGUCAGUGUGUCCAUUCACAGAUCUCUAGCCGAUGUGCUUGUGUUGAAUCUGGAAAGAGUGAGUCCUGGAUUUAAGGAGACCCUGAAUGCAGUUCCAAGUGUCCUUGAAAGGAGGUCAUGUGGAGUCAGGACAGGAAGGCUGAAGAGAUAUGAUCCCUCCCUCCAGGCAAGGCAUGUCUGGAGAUGCAGGCAGCAGGAAGCAGCGUCUCCCAGCCAGUGCUAUGAGCACUGCCUUGCUCACAGCUGGAUUUUGAACUCUGACUCCCAGAACUAUGAGAAGAGAUUUGUCUGUGUGCCGCUACCUGGUUUCUGGGCCUUUUUGACACACACAGCCCCAGGAUGGUCAUUCAGCUCAGGCUUCAGGCCAGGCCAGGGGAUACCUGCUCUGUUGGUCACACUCCAGUGCAGAAGAACAAGCCUCUACCUCCUGGGAGUCUCCAGGCCUGACCACACACACUGGGCAGCUCUAGAUACUCCAUAUCAGGAGUUCCUCGUGUCCUUGGUAGAAAUGCGACAAUUAGAGCCCCGGCAGGUCCCUGAGUAUAAAGUUGAGGACUCCAUUGGAUUAAUAAGCAGAAGGGUGGGUGCUAGACGGGGAGGAGGGAAGAAGGAGCACUCUAGAUGGGGAGGAGGAAGGAACACUCUAGAUGGAAAGGAGCACUCUAGAUGGGGAGGACAGAAGAAGGAGCACUCUAGAUGGGGAAAAGAGAAGAAGGAGCAUUCUAGAUGGGGAGGAGGGAAGAAGGAGCACUCUAAGUUUGGAGAAGGAAGGAGCACUUUAGAUGGGGAGGACAGAAGAAGGAACACUCUAGAUGGGGAAAAGGGAAGAAGGAGCAUCUAGAUGUGGAGGAGGGAAGAAGGAGCACUCUAGUUGGAGAAAAGGGAAGAAGGAGCACUCUAGAUGGGGAGGAGGGAAGAAGGAGCACUCUAGAUGGGGAGGAGGGAAGAAGGAGCACUCUAGGUUUGGAGAAGGAAGGAGCACUCUAGAUGGGAAGGAGCACUCUAGAUGGGAAGGACAGAAGAAGGAGCACUUUAGAUGGGGAAAAGGGAAGAAGGAGCACUCUAGAUGGGGAGGAGGGAAGAAGGAGCACUCUAUCCAAUGAGCAGACCAAAAAACGCCAGCUUGCUGUGAAUCGCCAUGGCAAGUUUAAUGUUUUCUGGAAAGAGCAGGGUAGAGCACAGGAGGCAGCAGCCUCUGCUGUAGGCACACCCAUGGAAGUGGCUUGGAGAGUCUGACCAGCAGAAGCCCCUUCGGAGGUGGCAUAUACGUACAUUGAGCUCCAGAAGGAAAAGAGAGGGAUCCUAACCAAGGGCCACCAGGAAGCAGCAAGCAAGGCCUAGUUGGCACAAAGCAGAUAUCCAGUGGCCCAGGCCCUGGGGAUCAACACGGGGUGAGAUGGGGAAAGAACACAGGCUCUCUGCAAUCAGAGAAUCAGGCCUGAGGCCUUCCCUGAGUCUGAGCUAGGGGCGGGAUAGCCUGUGUCCUCUUCUACCACUUGGGGUUGACCCGGGAAUAGGUAGAUUUUUAUAGCUCUACCCCAGCUCUGGGUCUCAAAGGAAGUCCCUCUCACGUGUCCAUAAGCUGACUAGGGCUGUGUCAGGGCUGGGCAGGUCUAUCAGACUCAUCCGCUCUAGCAGGUUAAAGUAUCAAGUUCCCAGACAGGAUGCUGAACUGGGAAGGAAGCAGGGCACUAGGGAUGGUGAAGGGCAGUUUGGGAACCCAAAUCCGAGCCCUGGUCCU